AGGGCUCCAUCCCACAGUUGUGACAUCAGGACGUGAGCCAAAAUCAAGAGUUGGACGCUUAACUGACUGAGCCACCCAGGUGCCCUAUAAUACAACCUAUUACGAUAGGUGUUUAAUGUCACCAGACACACCGUGGGGAAAGGCGAGGGGGUAUCAAUCUGGCUGAGGGGCUCUGAGAGAGCCUUAAGGAAUCCUUUGAAUUGGAGGAGAGCUGGCACGACGGAUGCCCCCCGGGAAGGACGUGGAGGCAGAAGGCUUCCAGAUGGAGAGGACCAAAUGAGCGAACGUGCAGAGGUAGUGGAGUGUUGUGUGUCUUUAAGGAUUAGGCGUUUUCCUGAAUGGCUGGAGGAGAGGAUUCCUGCCAACGGUGUGUGGGGGACAAACGGGUGGAACUGUGUGUGGGAAUCAGCAGUGGAAUACAAUAAGCCUCUCUCUUAGGAUUUGCUUGUGUCCCAGGUAGAAGAGAACUUCUGCUGGUGACUACUGUUUAAAGAAAUCGCCACGAGUGUCAACAGCAGAGGCAUCAAAACAGUACCGAUUACCUAUGGACAGUCAGAAUCCAGUGAUGUCAGAACAGAGGAGGUAUGGAAUUUAUCGCUUACAAGAUGGUUAAAAAAAAAAAAAAAGGAAAAUGGAUGAAACCAUAUGUACGAGAAGCAUCAUGGAGGAC